UAUCCGUUUUUUUCUUCUUCCAGAUUUUCCUCUAUCUACCAACCUAAGCAUUUCAUGUUUGUAAGGUCGGAGUUUUUUCAUUACAUGCUUCGGCAUUAAAUAUUUUCUUUUCAUAACGUUUUCUACACAUGGACACAGGCAGUGCACUUGCUCGGCGGUUGCUGUUUCCAAUAGUGCUUGUUGAUGAUAAGGCUCAGACGUGCCCAGCAGUUCAAGAAAUGGCUUGUGCCUUAGAAGAUUGAUCAUUUCUGUUCGACGGUUUGGAAGCAAAUGAGUAAAACACAACAGUAAGGAGACUUAGAUUGGAAGAGAGAAAGCAAUUUAGACAAGGC